rnacentral:rRNA from 1 species
AGCGAACGCUGGCGGCAGGCCUAACACAUGCAAGUCGAACGGAUCCUUCGGGAUUAGUGGCGGACGGGUGAGUAACACGUGGGAACGUGCCCUUUGGUUCGGAACAACUCAGGGAAACUUGAGCUAAUACCGGAUGUGCCCUUCGGGGGAAAGAUUUAUCGCCAUUGGAGCGGCCCGCGUCUGAUUAGCUAGUUGGUGAGGUAAAGGCUCACCAAGGCGACGAUCAGUAGCUGGUCUGAGAGGAUGAUCAGCCACAUUGGGACUGAGACCCGGCCCAAACUCCUACGGGAGGCAGCAGUGGGGAAUCUUGCGCAAUGGGCGAAAGCCUAACGCAGCCAUGCCGCGUGAAUGAUGAAGGUCUUAGGAUUGUAAAAUUCUUUCACCGGGGACGAUAAUGACGGUACCCGGAGAAGAAGCCCCGGCUAACUUCGUGCCAGCCGCCGCAGUAAAAC